GAUGAACGCUGGCGGCGUGCCUAAUACAUGCAAGUCGAGCGAACAGACUAGGAGCUUGCUCCUCUGACGUUAGCGGCGGACGGGUGAGUAACACGUGGAUAACCUACCUAUAAGACUGGGAUAACUUCUGGAAACCGGAGCUAAUACCGGAUAAUAUAUUUAACCACAUGGUUCAAUAGUGAAAGACGCUUUUGCUGUCACUUAUAGAUGUAUCCGCUCCGCAUUAGCUAGUGGGUAAGGUAACGGCUUACCAAGGCAACGAUGCGUAGCCGACCUGAGAGGGGGACGGCCAAAAUUGGAACUGGACAAGGGCCAAAACUCUAAGGGGAGGAGGCGGUGGGGAAUCUUGGGAAAUGAGGGAAAGCCGGACGGAGAAAGGCGGGGGGAGGGAUGAAGGUUUUCGGAUGGAAAAACUCUGUGAUAAGGGAAGAAGAAAUGUGGAGUUAACAGUGCACGUAGUGACGGUACCUAAUCAGAAAGCCACGGCUAACUACGUG
rnacentral:rRNA from 1 species